rnacentral:rRNA from 1 species
UACAGAGGUCCCGAGCGUUGUUCGGAUUCAUUGGGCGUAAAGGGUGCGUAGGCGGCGGGGCAAGUCUGAUGUGAAAUCCCGGGGCUCAACCCCGGAACUGCAUUGGAUACUGCCUUGCUCGAGUACUGGAGAGGGAACUGGAAUUUACGGUGUAGCAGUGAAAUGCGUAGAUAUCGUAAGGAAGACCAGCGGCGAAGGCGAGUUCCUGGACAGUUACUGACGCUGAGGCACGAAGGCCAGGGGAGCAAACGGG